GAGUCAGUAGGUUGGUCGUGCCACCGGUACGUACUGGUCUCACUGAUUCCUCCUUCCUGAAGAACCGUAAUGCCAUUAAUUUGGUGUUGCUGGGAAACAGGACUGUUACUUUGAAAAAAUUAGAGUGUUUAAAGCAAGCUAACGCUUGAAUACAUUAGCAUGGAAUAAUGAAAUAGGACGAUCGAUCCUAUUUUGUUUGUUUCUAGGAUUGACGUA
rnacentral:rRNA from 1 species